GACGAACGCUGGCGGCGUGCUUAACACAUGCAAGUCGAACGGAAAGGCCCUGCUUUUGUGGGGUGCUCGAGUGGCGAACGGGUGAGUAACACGUGAGUAACCUGCCCUUGACUUUGGGAUAACUUCAGGAAACUGGGGCUAAUACCGGAUAGGAGCUCCUGCUGCAUGGUGGGGGUUGGAAAGUUUCGGCGGUUGGGGAUGGACUCGCGGCUUAUCAGCUUGUUGGUGGGGUAGUGGCUUACUAAGGCUUUGACGGGUAGCCGGCCUGAGAGGGUGACCGGCCACAUUGGGACUGAGAUACGGCCCAGACUCCUACGGGAGGCAGCAGUGGGGAAUAUUGCACAAUGGGCGGAAGCCUGAUGCAGCAACGCCGCGUGCGGGAUGACGGCCUUCGGGUUGUAAACCGCUUUCGCCUGUGACGAAGCGUGAGUGACGGUAAUGGGUAAAGAAGCACCGGCUAACUACGU
rnacentral:rRNA from 1 species